rnacentral:rRNA from 1 species
AUUGAACGCUGGCGGCAUGCUUUACACAUGCAAGUCGAACGGCAGCGCGGGGGCAACCCCGGCGGCGAGUGGCGAACGGGUGAGUAAUGUAUCGGAACGUACCCAGUCGUGGGGGAUCACGUAGCGAAAGCUACGCUAAUACCGCCUACGAUCUAUGGAUGAAAGCGGGGGACCGUAAGGCCUCGUGCGAUUGGAGUGGCCGAUAUCAGAUUAGGUAGUUGGUGGGGUAAAGGCCCACCAAGCCGACGAUCUGUAGCUGGUCUGAGAGGACGACCAGCCACACUGGGACUGAGACACGGCCCAGACUCCCACGGGAGGCAGCAGUGGGGAAUUUUGGACAAUGGGUGCAAGCCUGAUCCAGCCAUUCCGCGUGCAGGAUGAAGGCCUUCGGGUUGUAAACUGCUUUUGUACGGAACGAAACGGCUCUCUCUAAUACAGGGGGCUAAUGACGGUACCGUAAGAAUAAGCACCGGCUAACUACGUGCCAGCCGCCGCGGUAA